UACGGGGGGGAGCAAGCGUUGUUCGGAUUUUACUGGGCGUAAAGGGCGCGUAGGCGGUCAGCACAAGUCAGUUGUGAAAUCUCCGGGCUUAACUCGGAAAGGUCAACUGAUACUGUGCGACUAGAGUGCAGAAGGCAACUGGAAUUCUCGGUGUAGCGGUGAAAUGCGUAGAUAUCGAGAGGAACACCUGCGGCGAAGGCGGGUGCUGGGCUGACACUGACGCUGAUGCGCGAAAGCCAGGGAGCGAACGGG
rnacentral:rRNA from 1 species